GGGAGGGUAGCUCAGUUGGUAGAGCGGCAGUAGCUGCGCAGGUCGUAGGUUCGAGUCCUACCCCUUCCA
rnacentral:tRNA from 1 species